ACUGCUUUCAUUUGGCUAGAGUGAGUGUCAGCAAGUAUUUCCAAAAUAAAUAUCUUUAUGCCAAAAUAUCUAUCUCUAUACAUGUGUUUAUGGGUAGUGGAAUGGGAUAUAUAUUUUAUAAACAAGAAUAUAUUUUUUAAAUGGUAAUGGAACAACUUACUGUAUAAAAUAAAAUUCAGAGAAAUUUGUGGCAAAAACAACCUCAAGCAGCACACAUAUUUCAUAGACUGAAUGCCAUGACUAUCACUUCUGGAUAUUAAGUGUUAUAAAAUAUGUGUAAUAACUUUGCAUUUCUAAUUGGAGUCAUUGUUAAUUAUGACUUAAAUCUAACAAGGAGCUAAACACAUUAGUAGAUAGUAAACAUUUGCUGACUAAAUGGAUCAUGAAAAUUUAAUUUCAUAUUAAAGUAUUAUGUCUUGUUCCUCAGGUACAAUAUUUACUAUCAAUCCCAUAUUACUUCUGGAUAAAAUAUCAACAAUUCAAUUUCUUGUCGAAGCCAGUGACGGCGGACUUCCAGAUCUGAAGGCCCUUACCUUAGUGGAGAUAGAAAUACAAGACAUGAACAAUCACGCCCCUGAGUUUACAGUAGAAUACUAUAAUCUUAGCUUGAGUGAAGAUACCCUGAUUGGAAGCACAGUUGUCACAUUUUCAACCAUCGACCAUGACUGGACCCGUGAAAACACAUAUGUUGAAUAUUCCAUCAUCAGCGGUAAUUCCCAGAAAAAUUUCCACGUGGAAACUAGUUUCAUUCAUUCAGCACAUCCUUAUGAGCAAGUUGGUUAUCUCGUGUUGCUUCACAGUCUGGACAGAGAAGCAACCGCCAGCCAUAAACUUGUCAUUCUGGCAUCUGACCACGGCUGCCCUCCCUUGAGCACCACAGCCGUCAUAUCCAUAGAAGUCCUUGAUGUCAACGAUAACCCACCUCGGUUCAGCAGUCCCAAGUAUCACGUCCACGUCAAGGAAAGCACCCCUCUCGGGAGUCACAUCACUGUGGUCUCCGCAGAUGACCAUGACGUGGGCUCACAUGCAGAAAUCAUCUACCACAUAGUCUCUGGAGACGAGAAGGGGCAUUUUUACUUAGAAGAAAAAACUGGAGUUCUUUAUUUGAGCAAACCUCUGGAUUAUGAAGAAAUGAUAAAAUUUACUUUAACUGUCCAAGCUUCUGAUGAAGAAAAGAAGCACUUUUCUUUUGCAGUUGUGUUUGUCAAUGUCCUAGAUGAUAAUGACCAUACACCUCAGUUUAUGUUCUCAAGCUUCAACUGUGUCGUUCCAGAAAAUCUGCCUGUUUUCUCCACCGUAUGUUCUGUAAAUGCUUUGGAUUUUGAUGCAGGGCCUUAUGGAGAAUUGACCUAUUCAAUUCUGUCGCCCUGUUUUAUCCCUCAUGGAAUGUCUUAUGAUCAUGAUCUCUUCCUCAUUGACCCUUUGACAGGGGAUAUUCGUGCUAAGCAAAUCCUUGACUAUGAAAAUGGUAAUAAAUAUUGCCUCACAGUUCAGGCCAAAGACAAAGGUGACUCAACAGCCUCCUUAAUGGUUUGGGUGGAUAUUGAAGGGAUAGAUGAAUUUGAACCCAUUUUCACUCAAGAUCAGUAUUUUUUCACCCUCUCAGAAAAGAAUAACAUAGGACAGUUGAUUGGCAGAGUGGAAGCCUCAGAUGCAGAUGCUGGUCUCGAUGGAAUCAUUGUUUACUCUCUUGGAUCUUCAUCUCCUUUCUUUUCAGUAAAUAAAACUAAUGGAAAUAUUUAUUUGAUUAGAGCCAUUCCCCUAAUAAAAAAUCAAGUCAGCAAAGAAGACACCAUGGAAAUGAAAAUACUUGCUCAUAGCCCCAAACCAGACUCCAAGUUUGCAUCUUGCAUGGUUUUUGUGAAUGUAUCUUUCGCCUCGGAAGGAACACACGUGGCAGCAUCCACCAAUAGCUUUUCCGUCAGCCUCACCCUGUCCUUUUUAGUGUUUCUCUUACUUGUCUGCAUUCUAAUUGUGCUGAUUUUAAGACAUAAACAAAAAGACACAAUAAACAAUUAUGAGAAGGAAACCUCAUCAUCUUUAGAUACUAACUUGAGAGUGACCAGCGAUGCCAGCUUGCUCAAGGCCUUCCAGAAAACUGACUGCAACAAGGAAGCCGUGCCUGUGGCCCCCACGCCUGAAUGGUUGAGUUUAAUAAGCAUCAUGGAGAAGGACAUUAUUAAUCUGUACAGGCACUCCAACUCCAGUGGCCACUGUUCUAUAGAAGGAGAAACUGCAGAAGACAAGGAAAUCCAGAGGAUAAAUGAGCAUCCUUACAGAAAGGGCUCGGACUCAGUGCUGAGUGACCGGGAGUCCAGGGUUCCAGACUCGGGAAUCCCCAGGGACUCAGACCAGCUCUCCUGCCUGUCUGGGGAAACUGAUGUGAUGGUCACGGCCGAAACAGCAGAAGCCAGCCAAGCAUUUGAGGAAGGAGAUCGAGGGGAAGGCUGCAGCACCACUUAUGUUCAAAAUAAUGUGUUACCCCAGACAGUUCAGAAAAGAGAGGCAAAAGAGGGCAUCCUGGCUGAUGUCAGGAAAGAAUCUAUCUUCACUUCGGGUGAUCAGGAAGCAAGAUGUGCAGCUCUUUCAACUCCGAUAACCUCUGAUCGUCAAGGAAGAGGCAACUAUCACUGGGAUUAUCUCCUCAGUUGGGAACCCAAGUUCCAGCCUCUUGCCUCAGUAUUUAAUGAUAUUGCAAAACUAAAGGAUGAAUAUUUACAUAUGCCUGGCAUUCCAAAAGAGAAGAAAUCUUUUGUUUUUCCACCCCCUUUGAUAACAGCAGUAGCCCAACCUGGGAUUAAAGCAGUUCCACCAAGAAAGCCAGCUAUAACCCCAGGGCAGGUCCUUCAAAAACACCCACGCUCCCCCAUCCCCUACCAUCUUGGUUCUCUCCCAGAAGCUAUGACUCCAAGUUUUUCUCCCUCUCUUUCCCUGUUAACCAUGCAGACUCCUGCCAUGUCUCCACUGGUGUCAGAUGGAGAAUUAGUAGGAAUACACAUAAGUGGUACAUGCCAUGAAUUUAAAGCAGAAGAUGAAGUUCAAAUAUAA